UACGUAGGGCGCAAGCGUUGUCCGGAAUUAUUGGGCGUAAAGAGCUCGUAGGCGGCUUGUCACGUCGGGUGUGAAAACCCGCGGCUCAACCGCGGGCCUGCAUUCGAUACGGGCAGGCUAGAGUUCGGUAGGGGAGACUGGAAUUCCUGGUGUAGCGGUGAAAUGCGCAGAUAUCAGGAGGAACACCGAUGGCGAAGGCGGCAUCCUGGACCGGCAUUGACGCUGAGGAGCGAAAGCCAGGGGAGCAAACGGG
rnacentral:rRNA from 1 species